rnacentral:rRNA from 1 species
GACGAACGCUGGCGGCGUGCUUAACACAUGCAAGUCGAACGGUGAAGCGCCUUCCUUUUUGGUGGGUGUGGAUGAGUGGCUAACGGGUGAGUAACACGUGAGUAACCUGCCCCCUUCUUCUGGAUAACCGCAUGAAUGUGUGGCUAAUACUGGAUAUUCUGGGUCGGUCGCAUGAUGUUUUUGGGGAGGAUGUUGUUUCGGUGGUGGAUGGGCUCGCGGCCUGUCAGCUUGUUGGUGGGGUGAUGGCCUACCAAGGCGGUGACGGGUAGCCGGCCCGAGAGGGUGGGCGGUCACACUGGGAAUGAGACAGAGACGAGACUGAUACGGGAGGCAGCAGGGAGUGAGAUUGCACGCUGAGUGGGAGGAUGCUGGAGGCAGGCCGGGUGCGGGAUGGAGGACUGCGGGUGGGGAGCAACUCUCGUUAGUGAAGCAGGACUGCCUCGUUUGUGGGUGGGUUGACGGUAGCUGGAUAAGAAGCGCCGGCUAACUACGUG